rnacentral:rRNA from 1 species
UACGUAGGGUGCAAGCGUUGUCCGGAAUUAUUGGGCGUAAAGAGCUCGUAGGCGGUUCCGUAAGUCGAGUGUGAAAAAUCUGGGCUCAACCCAGUGGAGCACUCGAUACUGCGGUGACUGGAGUACGGUAGAGGAGUGUGGAAUUCCUGGUGUAGCGGUGAAAUGCGCAGAUAUCAGGAAGAACACCCGUGGCGAAGGCGGCUCUCUGGGACGGUACUGACGCUGAGACGCGAAAGCGUGGGGAGCGAACAGG